AUGGUGGUAAAGUGGGCCGGGCCUCGCGCAGCUGAGUCCCAUCUGAAGCUCGGGUGCCAGCACUUAACAUGAUUGAUCCGCUAACAGGACAGAAGAGCAGAGCAGACGCACAACUUCAGCUUUAAGUCUACCCACGGUUCCUCUUUCCUCCUUUCUUUCCACUUCAACUCAAACGAGCUUGAUGUGAGCGAGGGGGGACACAACUCCAAAAAUCACCUCCUUUCCCUUCUGUCACCCUCACAGAGCACCUCUCACCUUUACUUUCGGAUUGUGGCUUUAACUCACGGCUUCACUGGACACAACUCCAAAAAUCACCUCCUUUCCCUUCUGUCACCCUCACAGAGCACCUCUCACCUUUACUUUCGGAUUGUGGCUUUAACUCACGGCUUCACUGGGCACAAACGACACCAGAUUCUCUUCUGCAACUUUAACGCACACCAGGGACAAAAUCACCGACAGGGAAACCGAUUUUUUAUUUUUCUGGCACAAAGAAGCGUUAAAGUUACACAAUGAGUCUGAAGUCAGACUCAGAGACGAGCACCAGUGUUUCAUUAGAGGAGGAGGUAAGAGAAAUAAACUCUUUUGGUAAACAUAAACUUCAUUUAGUGAAGUUCUAGUCUGUGUCGGCGGAAGACUGUGGGGAACUCUUCUGGCGUUUGACUAGACGCUUAAAAGCUCGUUUCGGUGGUUUGAGGAGAAGCGUUUGCUGUGGAAAAGUUUGAGAGAGAGGCAGGCAUGGAUGUAAAGGAGGGGUUAGACAUGGUGAUGAUGGUGGUAAAGUGGGCCGGGCCUCGCGCAGCUGAGUCCCAUCUGAAGCUCGGGUGCCAGCACUUAACAUGAUUGAUCCGCUAACAGGACAGAAGAGCAGAGCAGACGCACAACUUCAGCUUUAAGUCUACCCACGGUUCCUCUUUCCUCCUUUCUUUCCACUUCAACUCAAACGAGCUUGAUGUGAGCGAGGGGGGACACAACUCCAAAAAUCACCUCCUUUCCCUUCUGUCACCCUCACAGAGCACCUCUCACCUUUACUUUCGGAUUGUGGCUUUAACUCACGGCUUCACUGGGCACAAACGACACCAGAUUCUCUUCUGCAACUUUAACGCACACCAGGGACAAAAUCACCGACAGGGAAACCGAUUUUUUAUUUUUCUGGCACAAAGAAGCGUUAAAGUUACACAAUGAGUCUGAAGUCAGACUCAGAGACGAGCACCAGUGUUUCAUUAGAGGAGGAGGUAAGAGAAAUAAACUCUUUUGGUAAACAUAAACUUCAUUUAGUGAAGUUCUAGUCUGUGUCGGCGGAAGACUGUGGGGAACUCUUCUGGCGUUUGACUAGACGCUUAAAAGCUCGUUUCGGUGGUUUGAGGAGAAGCGUUUGCUGUGGAAAAGUUUGAGAGGAAUGCGGAGUCUGUUGAUGAUUAAUCUUAAAGUUGGCAUUGAAAUCUGAGACUCACCUGAUGAGACACUCUCGUGUAAUUGUGUGGAUAGAGUUUAAAGACCGAUUUAACAAGCACAUAUUUCAGUGGGUGUUCUUCUGAAGUUUUCCUGGUUUCGUUAAAGACGGUGACGUACUGGACGUGGGUCUGCUAGAGAUAAUGUUAUUAAAAAAUUAAAUUUAAAACUACUUUUAGUGCUUUUAAUUUAUUUAAUUUUGAAUGUGGG
ensembl:lncRNA